GAUGAACGCUAGCGGGAGGCCUAACACAUGCAAGCCGAGCGGUAUUGUUUCUUCGGAAAUGAGAGAGCGGCGUACGGGAGCGUAACACGUGUGCAACCUGCCUUUAUCUGGGGGAUAGCCUUUCGAAAGGAAGAUUAAUACUCCAUAAUAUAUUGAACGGCAUCGUUUAAUAUUGAAAGCUCCGGCGGAUAGAGAUGGGCACGCGCAAGAUUAGCUAGUUGGUGAGGUAACGGCUCACCAAGGCGAUGAUCUUUAGGGGGCCUGAGAGGGUGAUCCCCCACACUGGUACUGAGACACGGACCAGACUCCUACGGGAGGCAGCAGUGAGGAAUAUUGGUCAAUGGGUGCAAGCCUGAACCAGCCAUCCCGCGUGAAGGACGACUGCCCUAUGGGUUGUAAACUUCUUUUGUAUAGGGAUAAACCUACCCUCGAGAGGGUAGCUGAAGGUACUAUACGAAUAAGCACCGGCUAACUCCGUG
rnacentral:rRNA from 1 species